CAGCGGUCAGUGUCAGCAGCACGACGCCAGCCACCCUCUGGAGCUGGAGGCUGGGGGUGGGGGGAGUUCCCAUCUCAAGGCCAUGGGGCUGAGGCCAGUUCUCACCUGCCAGAGGUAGGGAAGGAGCGAACAGUCAAGGCCAUCUGUUCCUGGCCCCAGGUCUGCACCAGGCUCGACUUUCACUGCGAGGAAGCCUUUGGAAACUGCAUCCUGGACCUUUUAUUAGCUCGGAUGGUGGUUUUUAAGAGCUUUAUGGAUGCCUGAACACUAAUAGUGAGCCCUUACCCUGCCCUCACUAAGUACCAGGCACUGUUCUGAGAGCUUUGGUCUGAAUCACCUCACUGAGCGCUCAUAAGAACUCUACAAGAUAGGAGUUAUCCCCAUUUUAUAGAGUGGGAGGGGAGGCCUGGAAAGGGGGCAGAGCUAGGAAUCGAUGCCAUAACUCUGCUCCUGAGCCCCGCCCUUCGCUGCUGGGCCACACUGCCCUAUUGUCCCAGAGCACAGGCUGGAGUGCAGAUUCAGUCUUACUUGUCCACUGGGAAACCAAACGUCCUAGAGAUGAGGCCUGUGGGUGAUUAGCCAGGACAGGUGAUAGCAUGCCAUCAGAAUUGACCAGCCCCUAACUUAGAGCAGGCAGGGGGCUCGUCCAACCCCACCCCCUCCUAAGGUUAGUGCACCCAGAUCUGGAGAGCUUUCCUGGGGUCACGCAGCGAGAAAAUGAUGACACAAGAAUCCAAAGCUUUCUGACAGUCCCUUCAAUUGCUGUGCACUGUCUUUCUUUCUCUAGGAAAGUAAGACUAUGCCCCUGCCCUGGCACCCCAGUCCCAUCCACCUAAGCCCCCACAGUGGACAGCAGGAGUGUUGUUGGUGUCAGGUGGCAGUUAUCUGCUGGAGGUUUCCUGAGGGUCAGGGAGCCAUGUUGACCUGAUCACUAGUUCCUGCCCGCCUAGGGAGCCCCCUCCAUCUGGUAGAGAGGAUUGAGAACUGGAGAUGCUUCAUCCCAUGCCUCCUGGCUCUCCUCCCUCUUGGCUGAAGGCUGGUUGGUGUCUCUGGAGGGUGUUUGACCUGUGGGCCUUGCCCAGAGCUCAGUUUGGGUUGCAUUGGGAUCGAGCCCCCAGCGAGGUCCCAGAGAGGAGUCUCAGGCCUGGAACCGAGAUUGCGGGUUAGACAGGGCUUCACCAGGUAAUCAUUGCUGGUAAUGGCAAAGGCUUUGAAUGAAGUGUCCAAACUGGUUUAACACCCUUUUGGUAUUUCUCUUAUUUUGUGGAUUUAUAUCAUUCACCUACUAAGGACCUCCCUUACCUAAUCUCUAUUCCCUGAGGAAUGAAAGAGUAGAUAAAGUUUUUUGUUUGUUUUGUUUGUUUGAGGGCUGUACUCCUGUCUCCUGGGAUGGCCUCAGCUGGUCCAGCUGAGGGGGGUCUAGCUGAGGGGGAGUCCAGCCCCAGGAGGGCCAGCUCUAGGGCUGCUUGGAUCAAGGCCCAAAGUACCUUCAAUGUUCCUCCUAAAUCUGUGGUUCCAAGAAUAUUAUUUAGCACCUACUGGCAUUCCACCAACAGAAGAUAUAAGAGAAGAAACGUCCUUCGAUUCCUAAUCAAACAACAUCGAUGAAGCAAUUAGUAUAUAGAAGGUGCUAGGCAAGAAGCAUUCUAGUUUCCUGUUGUGGAGGAGUUUACAGUCUGCAAGAAAGAAGUGUAGAGUCUGUCUGCGGGUGGCACCAACAUAGAGGAAGCAAGACCAAGAGGUGAACAUCAGGUGCUUGUGACUUCUUGCAAGACCCUGGUUCAAGCCGUGCCUGAAGACGGACCUACCCUCUGGACUUUUCAACUGUAUGCUCCUGAGGCCUCCUACAGACAGAAUGAAGCUGAACUUGGAUGCAUCCUCUGGGUGAGGCAGCAUAAAAUCGGUCCGGAUGAAAUCCCUCCCUGUUGAUGAAGAUAUCUGCCGCAUCGUCAAAGCCUCUGGCUCUUCUCUGCGGUAGAAUGAAAGAUCCCAACCUGGCUGAGCUCAGGAUGGAAAUGUUUGUGGAACUUUCGGUUAGGUGCUGGUAAAAGGAGCACGCGGCCAGCGCGGUUCUGAAAACCCAGAGGAGCUGGAAGCUGACCUCCGACAGGAGUGGUCAUGUGCACGUUUGUCCAGACUGCAAGAUUUCCUCCCUGGCCUUGGUCUCUGCUCUCUGGAUUCACAUUAUGUUCUGUCCCUCCAGCCCAGCCCCGCCCUUUCCAUGAAGCCUUCCAUAAACUCUGCCAGGCCACCAUGACUGGUGCCUCCUCAACCAGCAGUCACAUCGGGUACACCAUGCCCCAGAAUUCAGCUGCUACGUGCUCCUAGUACUUAGCUGUGAGCCUUCUUUCUUUAAGACGAUGGAAAGCCUGGGGGCA